rnacentral:rRNA from 1 species
GACGAACGCUGGCGGCGUGCUUAACACAUGCAAGUCGAACGGAAAGGCCCUGCUUUUGUGGGGUGCUCGAGUGGCGAACGGGUGAGUAACACGUGAGUAACCUGCCCUUGACUUUGGGAUAACUUCAGGAAACUGGGGCUAAUACCGGAUAGGAGCUCCUGCUGCAUGGUGGGGGUUGGAAAGUUUCGGCGGUUGGGGAUGGACUCGCGGCUUAUCAGCUUGUUGGUGGGGUAGUGGCUUACCAAGGCUUUGACGGGUAGCCGGCCUGAGAGGGUGACCGGCGACAUUGGGACUGAGAGACGGCCCAGACUCCAACGGGAGGCAGCAGUGGGGAAUAUGGCACAAUGGGCGGAAGCGUGAUGCAGCAACGCCGCGUGCGGGAUGACGGCCUUCGGGUUGUAAACCGCUUUCGCCUGUGAUGAAGCGUGAGUGACGGUAAUGGGUAAAGAAGCACCGGCUAACUACGUG